AAUUUGUUUUAACGGUGGAAUAUGUGGUUUAAUUCGACAAUCCACGAAAAAUCUUACCAGCAUUGUACUAGUACUAAUUGUCAUCAGAUUAUUAUAUUUUUACUAGGUAGGUAUUGCAUGGCUGUCGACAGUUCGUGUUGUGAAAUGUAAAAUUAAGUUUUUAAACGAACGCAAUCUUUCUAAAAUACAAUAUUUGUAUUUUUUUUUUUAAAGUUGAAGUCAAGUCUUUAUGGUCUAUUUAUGCUGGGCUACACACGUUUUACAAAGAUGAAAACAAAAAGAUGCUAAAAAGAAAUUUAAAGCUAAUCUUUAAAAAUCAUCUUGGUUUGGAUCGACGUUUUAAAAUCAACGUCGUGAAAAUGGAAUCGUAAGUAACUGUAUUUUAGUAGCAUACAGUGAAUAUUUUAUCAAAUUUUGCACACACUGCCCAUCACGCUCGGAGAGUUGUUUUGAGUUGAAAUAUUUAAUUAUUUUUUAAUUUAAAAUAAAUUUAAAACGGUUAUUU
rnacentral:rRNA from 1 species